CUACCAUGCUUGGCUAGUUCUUUAAUACUUUUGUAGAGACAAGGUCUCACUAGACCAGGCUGGUCUCAAACUCCUGGCCUCAAGCCAUCCUCCUCGGCCUCCCAAAAUGCUGGAAUUAUAGGCCUGAGCCAGUGCACCUAGCCAAAGUUGUCUAGCAUUCAACCAGCUGCUCUUGAACCUGCCCCCGCUUCCCCAUUUCCCCUACUUUUCAAAUAUCCAACCCCACGUUAAUUGCUUUAUGCUAUUUCA
rnacentral:lncRNA from 10 species